rnacentral:tRNA from 1 species
GAACAGGUAAGCUAAAUCUAUAAGCUAUUGGGCUCAUAACCCAACAAUGGAGAUAAUCCCCUAUUCA